AGAGACUUCACUGGUGGAAUAGGAUCAAGACCAAGGCCAGCAUCUGCAGGAAUUGCUGUGUCCCAGAGGAAAGUACGUCAGAUCAGUGAUCCUAUUCAGCAGAUCUUAAUCCAGCUGCACAAAAUCAUCUACAUCACUCAGCUUCCUCCAGCUUUGCACCACAAUUUGAAAAGAAGGGUUAUAGAGAGAUUCAAGAAAUCCCUCUUCAGCCAGCAGAGUAACCCUUGUAAUUUGAAAUCUGAAAUU